rnacentral:rRNA from 1 species
CCAGACUCCUACGGGAGGCAGCAGUGAGGAAUAUUGGUCAAUGGGCGCGAGCCUGAACCAGCCAAGUCGCGUGAGGGAGGACGGCCCUACGGGUUGUAAACCUCUUUUGCCGGGGAGCAACGGGCGUCACGUGUGGCGCCACUGAGAGUACCCGGAGAAAAAGCAUCGGCUAACUCCGUGCCAGCAGCCGCGGUAAUACGGAGGAUGCGAGCGUUAUCCGGAUUUAUUGGGUUUAAAGGGUGCGUAGGCGGUUCUUAAAGUCGGUGAUUAAUUGGGGGGCCUCACCCCUUUCCCGCCAUUGAAACUGGCGUUCUUGAGUGGAAGAGAAGUAUGCGGAAUGCGUGGUGUAGCGGUGAAAUGCAUAGAUAUCACGCAGAACCCCGAUUGCGAAGGCAGCAUGCCGGCUUCCGACUGACGCUGAAGCACGAAAGCGUGGGGAUCGAACAGGAUUAGAUACCCCAGUACC